CCUUUGGGGCCUGGCACUUCUCUAUCUCCCUCACCACUUCUUCUUCCACCUCCGGCCGCUGCCGCGGCCAGGCCGGCAUGGCGGCGCGCCACCCAGUACCUCCACCCGCUCCACAACGCCGCCGCACCGCGCCACCCAGUACCUCCACCCGCUCCACAACGCCGCCGCACCUCCACCCGCGCUACCACAACCCAUCCAUCCACCGGCGCCAUCACAUCCAGCCACCAUCACCUCGCGCGCCCUACCAGACUAGAGGUUCUGGUUGUAUGGUGCCCUGCGCGAGUCUGUCCUCCCUCUCUCUUGUUGCUGCUCCUCCCUCUUGCUUCGUCCCGCUGCUCCUCUUCUUCCCCUCGCCUUCCUCAACUGUUGCUUCUCCCUUCUUCCCCCAAACUCUGCUGCUGCAUCUUCCUUCUUCUCCUUGUCCCUACUACUGCUGAACCACUCCUCCUCUUAUUGUGUCUCUGCUGGUCGCUGCUCCCCUACUGCCGAUCCUUUCCUCAACUCUCUCUACUUCUCCUCUCAUGCCACUCCUGCUGCUUCUCCUCAACGCCCCUGCUGCCUCUGAUUCUUCUCUUAACUAGAACCCUUGCUGUUCUCUCUCUCUCUCUCUCCCUAAAUUUUCUGUAUAAUUGAGAUUGUGUAAGACAUGCAAGGUUCAGAUUUGAGUGUGUCUCAUGUAAUAGUUCAUAUUAUAGCUUGUGAAUUUUGUGUUGAAUGUGCUCUCUAUUAGGCAAGCAAUAUGUUUGAUUUCCAAUUCCUGUGAUAGCUCCUUAAUUUUCAUAAAUAUAUGUUCUCUUGUGAAAGAUUUCUGUUCUUGUCCCGUUAUCUUUGUUCUGUCUUUUUCUUAUAUAUAAUUGCUAGUUAUCUUUGUGAUCGUAUCUUGUUACUUCUUUUCUGUCGAUGAUGAUGACCUGUGUUAGUAUUUUAGAUUGUCUCAAGUAAAGCAAAAUUACCAAAAAGAUAAUGAGUAAAAAUCUGAUUCACCCUUUGCUUAUUUUGCAUUUUCUUUGGCGAUGAUCUUAGGGAACUACCUUGUUUAAUUUAGGUUUAUAUUUCCUUGCAAUCAUCUUCUAAAUUGUGUUAGCUAGCUUUAGCCAAAUAUAGUUUCCGUCGCCUAGUCCCUGUGGAGAACACGACAUCCGUAGUUUGGGCAAAAUAUUCCACUACAUUUACAAUCGAUCAUUUUGGCGCCGUUGCCGGGGACUAGCGUCAUGCGAUUGUGUUAGGCUAUAGACUAGGUUUUUCUUCUUUCUCUAGUUUGUGCCAUAUAUUUGUGAUAUAUCUCUAACCACUAACCCAUGUUCUAGCUAGUAUCUUUUUGUUUUCUUUUCCUUUUGCAGGUUAGAGCUAUCUACUCGGUUAUGUCAUAUUAUUCAGAUUGUCUCGGAGAUGCGAGGAACACUACAAACAUCACACAAAGUAUUCAAGAACUGAUAAGUAAGAUUUCCCGUCGAUUAGAUGAUUUAGCUCGGCAACGAGAAGUAGUUUUUGAGGAUAGGCCUAGCUCUUAUGAUCCUUAUUCUGGAGGUCAUCCUUAUGUUGCUCCUACAUGCCAUAUUUGUGGAUUUCAGGGCCAUUCACCCGUUGAAUGUCAGCGUGGUUACUCUCACCCUCCCGAUUGUUAUGGCAUGAGCUUCGCCCCACAACUAGCUCAUACCAAAACAAUUACUCAUAUGGGUGGCCUGAAAACCAGAAUAUGUCAUAUAGGAACAACAGCCCUGAAAUCUCAUCAUUUGCCUCUAGUUAUCCAUUGCAGGGAAUUAGGUACAAUGAGGAGAGCAACAACUAUGCACCACAACAAUUUUAUUCAGCUCCUAUUCAUGUACCUCAACACCGGAAGAUGUGUCCAAUGGAGUUAAAUGGUCCUCCAUUUGGUCAACCAACACCUUCAACACAAGUGCCCAAACAAGAUGAGUUCGAUGACAUAGACAAGCUCGCACUUUUGAGUCUCGAGUUCACUUGGAGUGCCGAGGAUGAUCCUAUUAGGAAGGUUAUACUAGAGUAAAUGAAGAAGAUCAAGAGUGGGAAUGAGCUAGUGGAAGAAGUGAAGAAGAUUGAGAAUAACAUCAACGCUGGCAGUACUAUUUCUUCACAGCUUGAGCUGAGUAAUUCUCGGAUUCCCCUUGAUACAUGUGAGGUUCCAAUACCGUCACAUCUAGCUGAGCAAGAUAGCAAGUGCCUUGAGCAAGAGAUACCUCAGAUUGAAGAAGAUGAACUAGAAGACAAGGAACAAGAUGAUCAAGAGCUGCAAUUCCCAAGUGAUCAAGUUGAAGACUCAUCAUCUACUACUCCUGAAGAAGUACAAGAAGCUGCUGUAGAUGAAGAUGAAGAACCUGAGAUUCAUUGGCCUAUUGUCAUACAUGAGCGUGAUGUGUCAGGUUUACCCAAUCCUCUUGAUGACAUGCUUCCGUAUAAUUUCUUUGCUACUACCUUACGUUACAUGAUACCAUCACUUAGGAUUGAUUUGAAAACUCAUUUGCUUGGAUAUGAUGAUAUAUACACUGUUAGUGGCAUUACUCUCAUUUGUGAUGAUCAUAGUUAUUUUCCUCGUGCUAGUCCUAUGCUUAAUGAAACAUAUAAUUCCCAUGCUAGUCUUGAGCUUAAUGAUAAAUAUCAUCCUCAUGUUAGUGUUGAACUUGCCGAUUUCUACCAUCCUAAACAUGUGCUUUAUAGCUAUGCUUAUGUAAUUGAAUAUUCGAUUGAUGACUUGGAGGGUAUUAUCCCUCCACUUGCAUUGUCUCUUUCAUUGAGUGCUCUUUCAGGUUCUUGCUUGUGCAUGAAUCACUACAUGCUAACCAGGUUCGAGGUGACAUUCCUUGGGACCUUGGUGGAUCCUGAGCACGGAGAUGAGGAUAAGCAAUGGGCACACACGUGAGGAAGGGAGAAGCUAGAGCAGGCAUGAGGAUAGAUAAGCAAAAGGAGAGGAGCUGCAGUUGGUGAGGUGAUCGAGCGAGUGCUACAUCAUCAAUGCCCAGUGAGCUGUUUCAUGACCCAUUUUGAAAUCACCAUCCAUUGAUGCUUGUUGAAUUAAAUUGCUAUUUGGGUUGCUUGUGCCAUUUCUUAAAUGUCGUCCCACUGAAUUUCACCUUUGACAUAUGGUGCUUGAUGAGAAUAUGCGAACUGAUUGUUGAAUGCCUAGUAAACUAGUGAUCUACACCCUGUUUGCUUUGCUGAAAGUAGUGAAAGCUAUUAGUUUUGAGUUCUCAAAUCCCUAGUGCACUAGUAAACUUAAUCAUUUUCUGCUUUUACCUUGAUACACUUAGAUCAUUAAGUGUUAGAUGCUGAGUUUGUGCCUAUUGUGUUCCCAUUGAGAGCAAUCACUUUACCACUAUGGACUAGUAUGCUAUGUUCCCUGGAUCGGUAGCAUGUGAACCAGACAUGGAGAAGUGAUGAUUCCUGUUUUUGUGCUUAUGCGUUGUUCAUUUAAGAUAAGUAAUAAUGAAUAAAUCAGUCUGACUACCUACAAUAGCAUGUCAUGUUCCCUGGAUCGGUGGCAUGUGAAAUCGGUUUAGCUUGGGCAGUAAUUAAUAAUAAAAAUUGUAAUUGUCAAACCAGGUGUAUACCAUGUUCUCUGGAUUGGUGGUAUGUUCCUUUGGGGAGACAAACAAAAAAACUAAUAAUUGGUCGAGCCGGGUGUAUACCAUGUUCUCGGGAUCGGUGGUAUGUUCCUUUGGUGAGAUCGAUAAAAUAUUAUCAUUGCUUUAUUUCUGUAAAUAAGCGAUCUGAUCACAAGUGUAUGUUCUUUUUGUUCUCGGGAUCAUGCUCUCUUUAGGACCCUUUGGCACAAUCAUCAUUUGAACUAGUUGAUCUUCUUUUAUCAUUGUAGAAGUUUAAAAUGGUCAAGUCUACUAGUAUCCUACCACUUUGAAGCACUCCUAACCAUUAAUUUUCACUAGCUAAGUCCAAAGCAUGGACUGUUUAGAGAUCUACUUCACUUGGCAUUCUCUAGUCAGCUCAUUGUUCACAUUCUUGCUCUUGUCAUAUGCCUUUGCUUGAGGACAAGCAAAAGUUUAAGUGUGGGGGAACUUGAUCAACACAUUUUAUAUACAUCUCUUGGCCCUCAAAUGUACGGUUCACUGAGAUAUAUUCAUUCAUUUCGUGCUAUGAAUUAUUCCAUAUUUGAAUGAAAAUCAUAUAAAAGGAUCAUUUACUUGUGACUUGUUUCUUUUGCAGAAAAGUGUGCAAAGGCACUAUAAUCGUCAAGAUUUCUACUAUGUGGCUAACGAGAAGAGAGAAGGGCAGGAAAGAAAUACGUCAAGGACCUGAGUGUGAAGGAAAGAAGUAAUCUAGGGGAGCAAACUAAAAAAAGAGGAGGAUCUUCUUGGGCAGAAAUGAAGAGAAGAGGAGGGCCAAUGUGCAAAUGUGGCAACUCAGAGUGGGGAACAAAAUCCCUAGCCGCAACACUUGAUCCCUUUGGGGCCUAGCACUUCUCUCUCUCCCUCACCACUUCUUCUUCCACCACCGGCCGCCGCCGCGGCCAGGCCGGUGUGGCGGCGCGCCACCCAGUACCUCCACCAGCUCCACUACGCCGCAGCACCUCCACCCGCGCUACCGCAACCCAUCCAUCCACCGACACCAUCACAUCCAGCCACCAUCACCUCGCGCUCCCUACCAGACUAGAGGUCGUGGUUGUAUGGUGCCCUGCGCGAGUCUUACCUCCCUCUCUCUUGUUGCUGCUCCUCCCUCUUGCUUCGUCCUGCUGCUUCUCUUCUUCCCCUUGCCUUCCUCAACUGCUGCUGCUCCCUUCUUCCCCCAAACUCUUCUGCUGCAUCUUCCUUCUUCUCCUUGUCCCUACUACUACUGCUGAACCGCUCCUCCUCUUGCUGUGACUCUGCUGCUCGCUGCUCCCCUACUGCUGAUCCUUUCCUCAACUCUCUCUGCUCCUUCUCUCAUGCCACUGCUGUUGCUCCUCCUCAACGCCCCCUGCUGCCUCUCAUUCUUCUCUUAACUAGAACCCUUGCUAUUCUCCCUCUCUCUCUCCCUGAAUUUUCUAUAUAAUUGAGAUUGUGUAAGACGUGCAAGGUUCAGAUUUGAGUGUGUGUCAUGUAAUAGUUCAGAUUAUAGCUUGUGAAUUUUGUGUUGAAUGUGCUCUCUGUUAGGUAAGCAAUAUGAAUGUAUUUGAUUUCCAGUUCCUGUCAUAGCUCCUUAAUUGUGAUAAAUAUAUGUUCGGUUGUGAAACAUUUCUGUUCUUGUCCCAC
rnacentral:lncRNA from 1 species